rnacentral:rRNA from 1 species
CCUACGGGAGGCAGCAGUGAGGAAUAUUGGUCAAUGGACGAGAGUCUGAACCAGCCAAGUAGCGUGAAGGAUGACUGCCCUACGGGUUGUAAACUUCUUUUAUAUGGGAAUAAAAUGUUCCACGUGUGGCUUUUUGUAUGUACUUUAUGAAUAAGGAUCGGCUAACUCCGUGCCAGUAGCCGCGGUAAUACGGAGGAUCCGAGCGUUAUCCGGAUUUAUUGGGUUUAAAGGGAGCGUAGGUGGAUUGUUAAGUCAGUUGUGAAAGUUUGCGGCUCAACCGUAAAAUUGCAGUUGAAACUGGCAGUCUUGAGUACAGUAGAGGUGGGCGGAAUUCGUGGUGUAGCGGUGAAAUGCUUAGAUAUCACGAAGAACUCCGAUUGCGAAGGCAGCUCACUGAACUGCAACUGACACUGAGGCUCGAAAGUGUGGGUAUCAAACAGGAUUAGAUACCCUGGUAGUC